rnacentral:tRNA from 1 species
UUCUUCUGUAGGUUAUGUGUUAAACUACUUGUUUGUGGAGCAGGUGAAUUUUUUAAACAGGGGAAU